rnacentral:rRNA from 1 species
UACGUAGGGUCCGAGCGUUGUCCGGAAUUACUGGGCGUAAAGAGCUCGUAGGUGGUUUGUCGCGUUGUUCGUGAAAACUCACAGCUCAACUGUGGGCGUGCGGGCGAUACGGGCAGACUGGAGUACUGCAGGGGAGACUGGAAUUCCUGGUGUAGCGGUGGAAUGCGCAGAUAUCAGGAGGAACACCGGUGGCGAAGGCGGGUCUCUGGGCAGUAACUGACGCUGAGGAGCGAAAGCGUGGGGAGCGAACAAG